rnacentral:rRNA from 1 species
GACGAACGCUGGCGGCGUGCCUAAUACAUGCAAGUCGAACGCAGUGGGGACGGUUGAGUAACACGUGGGUAACCUCCCAUCAGAGGGGAUAACACUUGGAAACAGGUGCUAAACCGAUACUGAUGGAUGGACCCGCGGUUCAUUAGCUAGUUGGUGAGGUAACGGCUCACCAAGGCGACGAUGCAUAGCCGACCUGAGAGGGUGAUCGGCCACACUGGGACUGAGACACGGCCCAGACUCCUACGGGAGGCAGCAGUGGGGAAUCUUCGGCAAUGGGCGAAAGUCUGAUCGAGCCACGCCGCGUGUGUGAAGAAGGUUUUAGGGUCGUAAAGCUCUUUUGUUAGGGAGGCGUUAUCUAACCAAGAAGCCACGGCUAACUACGUGCCAGCCGCCGCGGUAAUUC